AAUUGGGCUGGACCCCAAGCAUCAUAAUAUCAUUCAAAUUAAGCUUCAUGUAAAUUAUACACGAGAGACAACAGCACCCACCUGUAGCUCCAUCAUCACUCUCUCUCAACUUUAUUUCCUGCCAGAUUUAUUUUUUCUUUUUCAGGAGACUAGAGAUAUAUGCAAACUGCAUGAACACCAUUUCUGGUUUAUUUUUCAAGAAAUACAUAUAGAUUAGUGCAGAAUGUAUAUAUAUUUAAAUCCCUCGAGAGAUCAUCUCGUGAAAACGUUUAAAGGACUCUUCCCUUUCAAUCUUGAGCUGAUUACGAAAGUUCUUGAUGAAAGCAUCUGCCAUUUGAUUGAUGUCUCCUCUCUCAUUCUCCAUCAUCAAUGUUCUUCGCAUCCUUGUUUUCCUCUUUGAAUCACUCUGAUCUUUGUCUUCCUUGUUAAGGCUAUUAUUAUGCUUAGAGAACUCUUUUGGAUGCUCCAUCUAGCUAGGCGGCCAAACUGAUCGCUUGUUUUGGUUGGUGAAGUUUUCAAGUCUGCGAGAGAUGACAGAGAGAGAAAGGUGGCGGUGAAGGGUGAGAUUU
rnacentral:misc_RNA from 1 species